UUAAGCGACUAAGCGUACACGGUGGAUGCCCUGGCAGUCAGAGGCGAUGAAGGACGUGCUAAUCUGCGAUAAGCGUCGGUGAGGUGAUAUGAACCGUUAUAACCGGCGAUUUCCGAAUGGGGAAACCCAGUGUGUUUCGACACACUAUCAUUAACUGAAUCCAUAGGUUAAUGAGGCGAACCGGGGGAACUGAAACAUCUAAGUACCCCGAGGAAAAGAAAUCAACCGAGAUUCCCCCAGUAGCGGCGAGCGAACGGGGAGGAGCCCAGAGCCUGAAUCAGUGUGUGUGUUAGUGGAAGCGUCUGGAAAGGCGUGCGAUACAGGGUGACAGCCCCGUACACAAAAAUGCACAUAUUGUGAGCUCGAUGAGUAGGGCGGGACACGUGGUAUCCUGUCUGAAUAUGGGGGGACCAUCCUCCAAGGCUAAAUACUCCUGACUGACCGAUAGUGAACCAGUACCGUGAGGGAAAGGCGAAAAGAACCCCGGCGAGGGGAGUGAAAAAGAACCUGAAACCGUGUACGUACAAGCAGUGGGAGCCUCUUAAUGGGGUGACUGCGUACCUUUUGUAUAAUGGGUCAGCGACUUAUAUUCUGUAGCAAGGUUAACCGAAUAGGGGAGCCGAAGGGAAACCGAGUCUUAACUGGGCGUUAAGUUGCAGGGUAUAGACCCGAAACCCGGUGAUCUAGCCAUGGGCAGGUUGAAGGUUGGGUAACACUAACUGGAGGACCGAACCGACUAAUGUUGAAAAAUUAGCGGAUGACUUGUGGCUGGGGGUGAAAGGCCAAUCAAACCGGGAGAUAGCUGGUUCUCCCCGAAAGCUAUUUAGGUAGCGCCUCGUGAAUUCAUCUCCGGGGGUAGAGCACUGUUUCGGCAAGGGGGUCAUCCCGACUUACCAACCCGAUGCAAACUGCGAAUACCGGAGAAUGUUAUCACGGGAGACACACGGCGGGUGCUAACGUCCGUCGUGAAGAGGGAAACAACCCAGACCGCCAGCUAAGGUCCCAAAGUCAUGGUUAAGUGGGAAACGAUGUGGGAAGGCCCAGACAGCCAGGAUGUUGGCUUAGAAGCAGCCAUCAUUUAAAGAAAGCGUAAUAGCUCACUGGUCGAGUCGGCCUGCGCGGAAGAUGUAACGGGGCUAAACCAUGCACCGAAGCUGCGGCAGCGACACUAUGUGUUGUUGGGUAGGGGAGCGUUCUGUAAGCCUGUGAAGGUGGCCUGUGAGGGUUGCUGGAGGUAUCAGAAGUGCGAAUGCUGACAUAAGUAACGAUAAAGCGGGUGAAAAGCCCGCUCGCCGGAAGACCAAGGGUUCCUGUCCAACGUUAAUCGGGGCAGGGUGAGUCGACCCCUAAGGCGAGGCCGAAAGGCGUAGUCGAUGGGAAACAGGUUAAUAUUCCUGUACUUGGUGUUACUGCGAAGGGGGGACGGAGAAGGCUAUGUUGGCCGGGCGACGGUUGUCCCGGUUUAAGCGUGUAGGCUGGUUUUCCAGGCAAAUCCGGAAAACCAAGGCUGAGGCGUGAUGACGAGGCACUACGGUGCUGAAGCGACAAAUGCCCUGCUUCCAGGAAAAGCCUCUAAGCAUCAGGUAACAUCAAAUCGUACCCAAAACCGACACAGGUGGUCAGGUAGAGAAUACCAAGGCGCUUGAGAGAACUCGGGUGAAGGAACUAGGCAAAAUGGUGCCGUAACUUCGGGAGAAGGCACGCUGAUAUGUAGGUGAAGCGACUUGCUCGUGGAGCUGAAAUCAGUCGAAGAUACCAGCUGGCUGCAACUGUUUAUUAAAAACACAGCACUGUGCAAACACGAAAGUGGACGUAUACGGUGUGACGCCUGCCCGGUGCCGGAAGGUUAAUUGAUGGGGUUAGCGGUAACGCGAAGCUCUUGAUCGAAGCCCCGGUAAACGGCGGCCGUAACUAUAACGGUCCUAAGGUAGCGAAAUUCCUUGUCGGGUAAGUUCCGACCUGCACGAAUGGCGUAAUGAUGGCCAGGCUGUCUCCACCCGAGACUCAGUGAAAUUGAACUCGCUGUGAAGAUGCAGUGUACCCGCGGCAAGACGGAAAGACCCCGUGAACCUUUACUAUAGCUUGACACUGAACAUUGAGCCUUGAUGUGUAGGAUAGGUGGGAGGCUUUGAAGUGUGGACGCCAGUCUGCAUGGAGCCGACCUUGAAAUACCACCCUUUAAUGUUUGAUGUUCUAACGUUGGCCCGUAAUCCGGGUUGCGGACAGUGUCUGGUGGGUAGUUUGACUGGGGCGGUCUCCUCCUAAAGAGUAACGGAGGAGCACGAAGGUUGGCUAAUCCUGGUCGGACAUCAGGAGGUUAGUGCAAUGGCAUAAGCCAGCUUGACUGCGAGCGUGACGGCGCGAGCAGGUGCGAAAGCAGGUCAUAGUGAUCCGGUGGUUCUGAAUGGAAGGGCCAUCGCUCAACGGAUAAAAGGUACUCCGGGGAUAACAGGCUGAUACCGCCCAAGAGUUCAUAUCGACGGCGGUGUUUGGCACCUCGAUGUCGGCUCAUCACAUCCUGGGGCUGAAGUAGGUCCCAAGGGUAUGGCUGUUCGCCAUUUAAAGUGGUACGCGAGCUGGGUUUAGAACGUCGUGAGACAGUUCGGUCCCUAUCUGCCGUGGGCGCUGGAGAACUGAGGGGGGCUGCUCCUAGUACGAGAGGACCGGAGUGGACGCAUCACUGGUGUUCGGGUUGUCAUGCCAAUGGCACUGCCCGGUAGCUAAAUGCGGAAGAGAUAAGUGCUGAAAGCAUCUAAGCACGAAACUUGCCCCGAGAUGAGUUCUCCCUGACUCCUUGAGGGUCCUGAAGGAACGUUGAAGACGACGACGUUGAUAGGCCGGGUGUGUAAGCGCAGCGAUGCGUUGAGCUAACCGGUACUAAUGAACCGUGAGGCUUAACCU
rnacentral:rRNA from 1 species